rnacentral:rRNA from 1 species
UUUUUGAUAAAUUUGAUUUGGUUAAAGGGAAAAAUUCCUUAUUUUUUUAUACAACAUUUAAAAAAUAUAAAGUAGAAAAUUUAAUUUAUUUAAUAAUAAAAUAUUAUUGAGAAUAAGGUAAAAAUCUAGCAAAAUUUGUGCCAGCAGCAGCGGUUAAACAAAUAGAAAUUUUCUUUUUUUAAAAAUUUUACUUUUUAAAAAAUAUUACUGUUAUUGAAAAUAAAGGUGAAAUUUAUUUUUUAAAUUAAUUUUUAUAAUAAAAUUAUAAUUCUUACUAUAAACUAGGAUUAGAUACCCUAUUAUUAGGAACAAAAAAUUGUAAGUAAAUAUUAAAUACGAAAGCAAAAAAUUAUGGCGGUAUUUUAAGCUUUUCAGAGGAAUUUGCUCUUUAAUGGAUAAAACACCUUAACCUUACUUGGUCUAGUAAAAUUCAGUUUGUAUACCACUAUGAAAAUAAUAAUUUACUUUUAUUAUUAAAAUUCUUUUUUUAGAUAAAAAUUAAGUCAAGGUGCAGCUUAAGGCUAAGAAUGAAGUGAAUUACAUUUCUUAAAAGAAAAGAAAAGUGAAACAAAAUAUUAGGAUUUGAUAGUAAAAUUAAAAUAAAAAGUUAAUUUGAAUUAAGCUCUAAGAUAUGUACAUAUCGCCCGUCGCUCUUUUAUAAGAUAAGUCGUAACAAAGUUAAAAUACUGGAAAGUGUUUU